AUAGUUUCCUUUGCUAUGCAAAAGCUUUUAAGUUUAAUUAGGUCCCAUUUGUUUGUUUUUAUUUCCAUUACUCUAGGAGACAGAUUGAAAAAGAUAUUGUUGUGAUUUGGGUCAAAGAGUAUUCUGCUUAUAUUUUACUCUAGGAGUUUUAUAUAAUCUGCUCAUGCAUUUAGGUCUUUAAUCCAUAUUGAGUUUAUUUUUGUAUGGUGUUAGAGGAUGUUCUAAUUUCAUUCUUUAACAUGGAGCUAUCCAGUUUUCUCAGCACCACUUACUGAAGAGACUUUAUUUCUACAGCAUAUGCUAGCCCUCUGGCGUUUAUGUUUAUUGAAGGAAGAUACUGGAUUGUUAAGAAUGACUAACAUAGAUAAUUAUUCUGCAUAACACAUUGAAAGGAAACUCAUGCAAGAAAAAAAAUGAGGAAAGUUGUGCAAGAAGAAAUAUGGCAGAUUUAUGCAAGUCAUCAAUCUAGAAAAGAUUUACUUAACAUCUACUGUGUAUCAGACACCAUUUUGAUAUUAGUUAUGACUACAUUCAGUUUUAAAUAGUGAUGAAUAACAUAGAGAGUUUACAUGAUGAAGAACAAAAGGUGAAAAUUGCUUUGAGCCAUAAAUUUGGGAUUAUAAACUGUGUUUGAUCACAACCAGCACCUCUGCUUGUCUGAACACAAAUCCAGAUCCUAGUUACCAUAAACCUCUACAGAUAUAGACUUUCUGUGCUAUCCCUACAAAUCAUCAAAAUGUGAAUAUUAUAUAUAGCUGUGAGAGGCUACUAAAUAAAGUUGGAAGACUCGCAAGUAAGGAUGUUUUAAUUCCUGACGACAUGACUCAAUUUUGACAUCUGUGAGCAUUGUAAAGAGACUGGUGGGUUUUUGGUGAAUAAAUAAGGCAGCCAGUUUACAUCUCAUCUCAAGAGUAGUGUAUUUGUUAUAAUCAUUAAACAGGCAUAGACUGCCCCAAGUCCAUAGUCUACAUUAGAGUUUACUCUUUGUGCUGUACAUUCUACGAAUUUGCCUAAGGGUAUAAUAAAACAUGCUUCCAAUCAUUGUGGUAUCAUGCAAAGUAUUUUCACAGCCAUAAAAAUCCUCUGUGUUUCAUCUAUUCUUCCAUCUGUCCCAAGAUCUCUUAGCAGCCAUGAGCUUUUCUCUGACUCCAUAAAUUUUAUUUUUCCAGAAUAUUACAUAGUUGCACUCAUAUGUAUUUUCAGAUUGGCGUCUUUCAUUUGACAUAGAAGUAAGUUUUCAAAUUAUUUGAACAUCAUCAAGGAGCUCAGUUACUAGAUUGUAUACUAAAGGUAUGUUUAGGUUUGUAAGAAACUGCCAAACAUUCUUCAGAAGUGGCUGUCCCAUUUUCCACUCCCACCAGCAAUGAAUGAGAGUUCCUGUUGCUCCAUUGUUGAUGAUGUUUUAUGUUUCAGCUUAUAAACAGCCAUUGUUGAAGACUUUCAGAUGCGAACCAAUGUUAAUAAUAGGAAUAAAUAGGUUUCUGUGUAGCAAAAUAAUCCACACUACUUAAAGAAAAAUACGGAGCCCCGGGCUCAGACGCGGAGGGGCGAGCGCGGGCCGGGCGCUCCGGGAAGCCAGGUGGGGCGAGCCCGAGGCGGGCCGGGCGGCGAUGCCGCUGGAGGCGCAGGACGCGGUGUACGUGGCGCUGGAGCUGGCUCUGGCCGCGCUGUCGGUGACCGGCAACGUGUUGGUGUGCGCGGCGGUGAAAAAAUUUUCUUCAAGUUGUGAACUUUCAAAGAUGUGAACGUUCCUCUGUGUGCCAGCUGCUGUACUGUACUUUUCACGGUAUGUACUGUAAGAG
ensembl:lncRNA